rnacentral:rRNA from 1 species
ACGCUGGCGGCGUGCUUAACACAUGCAAGUCGAACGAUGAAGCCUAGCUUGCUAGGUGGAUUAGUGGCGAACGGGUGAGUAAUACGUGAGUAACCUACCUUUAACUCUGGGAUAAGCCUGGGAAACUGGGUCUAAUACCGGAUACGACCAAUCUCCGCAUGGGGUGUUGGUGGAAAGCGUUAUGUAGUGGUUAUAGAUGGGCUCACGGCCUAUCAGCUUGUUGGUGAGGUAACGGCUCACCAAGGCGACGACGGGUAGCCGGCCUGAGAGGGUGACCGGCCACACUGGGACUGAGACACGGCCCAGACUCCUACGGGAGGCAGCAGUGGGGAAUAUUGCACAAUGGGCGCAAGCCUGAUGCAGCGACGCCGCGUGAGGGAUGACGGCCUUCGGGUUGUAAACCUCUGUUAGCAGGGAAGAAGAGAGAUUGACGGUACCUGCAGAGAAAGCGCCGGCUAACUACGUGCCAGCAGCCGCGGUAAUACGUAGGGCGCGAGCGUUGUCCGGAAUUAUUGGGCGUAAAGAGCUUGUAGGCGGUUUGUCGCGUCUGCUGUGAAAGGCCGGAGCUUAACUCCGUGUAUUGCAGUGGGUACGGGCAGACUAGAGUGCAGUAGGGGAGACUGGAAUUCCUGGUGUAGCGGUGGAAUGCGCAGAUAUCAGGAGGAACACCGAUGGCGAAGGCAGGUCUCUGGGCUGUAACUGACGCUGAGAAGCGAAAGCAUGGGGAGCGAACAGGAUUAGAUACCCUGGUAGUCCAUGCCGUAAACGUUGGGCACUAGGUGUGGGGGACAUUCCACGUUUUCCGCGCCGUAGCUAACGCAUUAAGUGCCCCGCCUGGGGAGUACGGCCUCAAGGCUAAAACUUAAAGAAAUUGACGGGGGCCCGCACAAGCGGCGGAGCAU